GCCCAGUGAUGAGACUAUGGCACGCAUGAGUUGAAUGACUGAGAGAUUGUGUUCUUGUGCUCACUGAUUGGUGGGUAAUCUUGAUUGAGCAGUGGAGAUUGGCUGCUCAGUUGUAAGGGCCCACCUAAAGUACACCUAGUGACCAAUCAGAGUGCUGCCUUCUCCCAAAGAAAUGGGUUCUGGGAAGUGAUUGGUAACUUACAGCGUGUCUCUGUGUGUGUGUCAGUCAGUGAGUGCAGAGUCACUUUUCUCUUUGAGUCACACAGCUUUGAACUUGUUCUUUGGUAAUCUGAGGGCA